CAUGCGUUCACGUUUCACACCAGCCAUGAAAGCAAGAACCGUGGGAAUCUUGAAGUCAUUCAUCACAAAACAUUAACAAAUUAAAGCAGACAUAUUACGUCAGGAAUCGCCUCCCACGGAAUAGUAUUACUACAUACUACUACUUCACCUUUAAUCACAAGGAAUCCGAUCCAUAACCCUUAAGUAAAGCACUUCUUCCAUCCAUAGCCACACUUUGCUUCUCUGCCAUUCCUUCAAUUCUCUUGCCUUAUCAUCAUCAUCAUUCACUGCAAUAAAGUGCCCUUUCUCUCUCCGGUACCUGAUCCAUCAAACAAACAAUCAUGGCUACCUCCUUUCCUUCAGCAGAAUUCAGCAACAAGAAUAGCCAAGAGGGGAAAGUAAAAGAGACGGCAAAAGUACAUGAUGAAAAUGUUCUGCAAAAGCAUGUUGCAUUCUUUGAUAGGAACCAUGACGGCAUCAUUUACCCA